rnacentral:tRNA from 3 species
GCGGGUGUAGUUCAGGGGUAGAACGUCAGCUUCCCAAGCUGGAUGUCGUCGGUUCGAAUCCGAUCACCCGCU